rnacentral:tRNA from 1 species
GCAUUGGUAUCUCAGUGGUAGAACUCUUGCCUUUCAUACAGAAGACCUGGGUUCUAUUCCCAGCCAGUGCA